rnacentral:rRNA from 1 species
CAUUAAGUUGGGCACUCUAAGUUGACUGCCGGUGACAAACCGGAGGAAGGUGGGGAUGACGUCAAAUCAUCAUGCCCCUUAUGAUUUGGGCUACACACGUGCUACAAUGGACAAUACAAAGGGUAGCGAAACCGCGAGGUCAAGCAAAUCCCAUAAAGUUGUUCUCAGUUCGGAUUGUAGUCUGCAACUCGACUACAUGAAGCUGGAAUCGCUAGUAAUCGUAGAUCAGCAUGCUACGGUGAAUACGUUCCCGGGUCUUGUACACACCGCCCGUCACACCACGAGAGUUUGUAACACCCGAAGCCGGUGGAGUAACCUUUUGGAGCUAGCCGUCGAAGGUGGGACAAAUGAUUGGGGUGAAGUCGUAACAAGGUAGCCGUAUCGGAAGGUGCGGCUGGAUCACCUCCUUU